UACGGAGGGUGCAAGCGUUGUCCGGAUUUAUUGGGUUUAAAGGGUGCGUAGGUGGCCGCUUAAGUCAGCUUUGAAAGCUGGUCGCUUAACGAUCAGGGGUGGGUUGAUACUGAGCGGCUUGGAUCAGGUGGCGGUUUCUGGAACGGGUCGUGUAGCGGUGAAAUGCAUAGAUAUGACCCAGAACUCCGAUUGCGAAGGCAGGAGCUACGCUG
rnacentral:rRNA from 1 species